rnacentral:rRNA from 1 species
GAUUUCUGGCUUGAAACAUUUUGCCGGCCACGGUUUCGUGUGUUAGUGCUUGAUGUUCUGGCCAUCCUUCCAAUUGCUAUUCACUUCUCUUCAUUGAUUGGUGAGUGGUAUUGGAUCUUUUACUUUGAAAAAAUUAGAGUGUUUCAAGCAGGCUUUUGCUAUGAAUACAUUAGCAUGGAAUAAUGAGUUAGGACUUCGGUUCUAUUUUGUUGGUUUCUAGGGCUGAAGUAAUGAUUGAUAGGGACAGUUGGGGGUGCUAGUAUUCAGUGCGAAGAGGUGAAAUUCUUGGAUCCACUGAAGACUAACUUAUGCGAAAGCAUU